UGAUUUUGAGCAAACAGUUUUAUUUUCUUUUUCUUUUUUGUUUGUUUGUUUUGUUUGAGACAGGGUCUCUCUCUGCCACCCAGGCUGGAGUGCAGUGGUGCCAUCUCAGCUCACGGCAGCCUCAACCUCCCCAGCUCAGGUGAUCCUCCUUCCUCAGCCUCUUGGGUACCUGGGACUGUAUGCACAUGCCACCACGUCUAGCUAUUUUUUUUUUUGUACUUUUUGAUACAGUCAGGGUUCAUCAUGUUGCCCACGCUGAUCUUAAACUCAACUCCUGGGCUCAAGCAGUCCACCUGCCUUGGCCUCCCAAAGUGCUGGGAUUACAGGUGUGAGACACUGCGCCCUGCCCAGUUUUCUGUUAGAUGAAUUAGGUAUAAGGAAAAUAAAAACAAACAAAAAACAGGAAUAAGGAAAAUAGCAGGUGUCUCACUCAUUUUGUAUGUUUCAAAUAAUUCUACCGUAAAACAUUAAAAAAAAUUCUUUUCGCUUAUUCUAGGCAGUGAUGACUUCUUAGGGAAUUCAGUCCCUCAACCUUUGCUCAGAUCCUACUUCACUUGGUGUACUUUGCAGGGGGACCUUUUAUGGGUCAGCAGGACACGAGGCUGGGAGAAGUGAUGGUGGACGAGGACGGCUGGGAGCAGGGACCCACCUUCCUGAUGUCAUGACUGUGCAAGCUGGGGCUGUUGGUGCUGUGCAGCCCCCCUCGCCUGGGGGCCAGGGUGUGGGGGACAUGAGAGGCCACCCAGAAUGCAUCCAUUUAAUAGAAGUUUCCAGCGCUGACCGUACAAACCAGUAAGGAACCAGCAGCAAAGGACGCAGGGUGGCGCUCCUGAUGUCAGCCGCCGCCCGGGAUCUCGCCUUGCUGAGAAGAUCCUCUCUCUCCACGUGGCCCAGCCCGGAGGCUGAAUUGUGCUUCACAAGUCAGGGGUUUAGAAAAUGAGGCUUUGCUUUAAAAGCCUGCAGGUGCCCAGGGGUGAGCUGGCCCUCCCCCCGCAUGA
rnacentral:lncRNA from 10 species